rnacentral:rRNA from 1 species
CCUACGGGGGGCAGCAGUGAGGAAUAUUGGUCAAUGGGCGGGAGCCUGAACCAGCCAAGUCGCGUGAGGGAAGACGGUCCUAUGGAUUGUAAACCUCUUUAGGCGGGGAGCAAUGCCGGGCACGUGUGCCCGGAGGGAGAGUACCCGCAGAAUAAGCAUCGGCUAACUCCGUGCCAGCAGCCGCGGUAAUACGGAGGAUGCGAGCGUUGUCCGGAAUUACUGGGCGGAAAGGGAGCGUAGGCGGGACUGCCAGUUGGGUGUCAAAUCUA